CAAGUAAAAAACUAAUGACUAAAUAAAUAUAUAUACAAAGCCAAAAAUAAUAUACUUGAAUAAUUUUGAACGAAAGGGAAUACGGUUCCAAUUCCGUAACCUGUUGAGUAUCCGUUUGUUAUUAAAUAUGGGCCUCGUGCUCAUCCUGGCAACAGGAACGACCAUAAAGAAGCCGUCGAGAGAUAUCGGAAGAGUUUUCUUUUCUGUUUUAUAGCCGUACUACCAUGGAAGUCUUUCGCAGAGAGAUAUGGUAGAUGGGCUAGAAGAGCAUGACAUAUACUGUUGUGUCGAUAUUUUCUCCUCGGACCUUGAAAAUUUAUGGUGGGGACACGCAAACUUCUCAACAGGCCGUACCAAUAUCCGCAGCUGGUCUCCAAGGUGAAGAGUCUCUAGUCGAUAGAAUAAUGUAGGUAAGGGAAGUCGGCAAAUUAGAUCCGUAACUUCGGGAUAAGGAUUGGCUCUUAAGAUUGAGAUAGUCGGGCUUGAUUGGGAAACAAUAACAUGGUUUAUGUGCUCGUUCUGGGUCUAUCAUUUAUGGUGGUUACUUGUUCCCCGGAUAGUUUAGUUACGUAGUCAAUUGUGGAACUUUCUUGCUAAAAUUUUUAAGAAUACUAAUUGGCUCAAACCGAUUAGUUCUUAUUAAUUAUAACGAUUAUCAAUUAACAAUCAAUUCAGAACUGGCACGGACUUGGGGAAUCCGACUGUCUAAUUAAAACAAAGCAUUGUGAUGGCCCUAGCGGGUGUUGACACAAUGUGAUUUCUGCCCAGUGCUCUGAAUGUCAAAGUGAAGAAAUUCAAGUAAGCGUGGGUCAACGGCGGGAGUAACUAUGAAUCUCUUAAUAAUAAUGCCUCGUCAUCUAAUUAGUGACGCGCAUGAAUGGAUUAACGACGAACGUGGUUUUCGACGCUCUCCAGUAAUACGCGAAUAUCUUUUGACUCAGU
rnacentral:ncRNA from 1 species